rnacentral:rRNA from 1 species
UUAAGCGACUAAGCGUACACGGUGGAUGCCCUGGCAGUCAGAGGCGAUGAAGGACGUGCUAAUCUGCGAUAAGCGUCGGUGAGGUGAUAUGAACCGUUAUAACCGGCGAUUUCCGAAUGGGGAAACCCAGUGUGUUUCGACACACUAUCAUUAACUGAAUCCAUAGGUUAAUGAGGCGAACCGGGGGAACUGAAACAUCUAAGUACCCCGAGGAAAAGAAAUCAACCGAGAUUCCCCCAGUAGCGGCGAGCGAACGGGGAGGAGCCCAGAGCCUGAAUCAGUGUGUGUGUUAGUGGAAGCGUCUGGAAAGGCGCGCGAUACAGGGUGACAGCCCCGUACACAAAAAUGCACAUAUUGUGAGCUCGAUGAGUAGGGCGGGACACGUGGUAUCCUGUCUGAAUAUGGGGGGACCAUCCUCCAAGGCUAAAUACUCCUGACUGACCGAUAGUGAACCAGUACCGUGAGGGAAAGGCGAAAAGAACCCCGGCGAGGGGAGUGAAAAAGAACCUGAAACCGUGUACGUACAAGCAGUGGGAGCCUCUUUUAUGGGGUGACUGCGUACCUUUUGUAUAAUGGGUCAGCGACUUAUAUUCUGUAGCAAGGUUAACCGAAUAGGGGAGCCGAAGGGAAACCGAGUCUUAACUGGGCGUUAAGUUGCAGGGUAUAGACCCGAAACCCGGUGAUCUAGCCAUGGGCAGGUUGAAGGUUGGGUAACACUAACUGGAGGACCGAACCGACUAAUGUUGAAAAAUUAGCGGAUGACUUGUGGCUGGGGGUGAAAGGCCAAUCAAACCGGGAGAUAGCUGGUUCUCCCCGAAAGCUAUUUAGGUAGCGCCUCGUGAAUUCAUCUCCGGGGGUAGAGCACUGUUUCGGCAAGGGGGUCAUCCCGACUUACCAACCCGAUGCAAACUGCGAAUACCGGAGAAUGUUAUCACGGGAGACACACGGCGGGUGCUAACGUCCGUCGUGAAGAGGGAAACAACCCAGACCGCCAGCUAAGGUCCCAAAGUCAUGGUUAAGUGGGAAACGAUGUGGGAAGGCCCAGACAGCCAGGAUGUUGGCUUAGAAGCAGCCAUCAUUUAAAGAAAGCGUAAUAGCUCACUGGUCGAGUCGGCCUGCGCGGAAGAUGUAACGGGGCUAAACCAUGCACCGAAGCUGCGGCAGCGACACUAUGUGUUGUUGGGUAGGGGAGCGUUCUGUAAGCCUGUGAAGGUGUGCUGUGAGGCAUGCUGGAGGUAUCAGAAGUGCGAAUGCUGACAUAAGUAACGAUAAAGCGGGUGAAAAGCCCGCUCGCCGGAAGACCAAGGGUUCCUGUCCAACGUUAAUCGGGGCAGGGUGAGUCGACCCCUAAGGCGAGGCCGAAAGGCGUAGUCGAUGGGAAACAGGUUAAUAUUCCUGUACUUGGUGUUACUGCGAAGGGGGGACGGAGAAGGCUAUGUUGGCCGGGCGACGGUUGUCCCGGUUUAAGCGUGUAGGCUGGUUUUCCAGGCAAAUCCGGAAAACCAAGGCUGAGGCGUGAUGACGAGGCACUACGGUGCUGAAGCGACAAAUGCCCUGCUUCCAGGAAAAGCCUCUAAGCAUCAGGUAACAUCAAAUCGUACCCCAAACCGACACAGGUGGUCAGGUAGAGAAUACCAAGGCGCUUGAGAGAACUCGGGUGAAGGAACUAGGCAAAAUGGUGCCGUAACUUCGGGAGAAGGCACGCUGAUAUGUAGGUGAAGCGACUUGCUCGUGGAGCUGAAAUCAGUCGAAGAUACCAGCUGGCUGCAACUGUUUAUUAAAAACACAGCACUGUGCAAACACGAAAGUGGACGUAUACGGUGUGACGCCUGCCCGGUGCCGGAAGGUUAAUUGAUGGGGUUAGCGGUAACGCGAAGCUCUUGAUCGAAGCCCCGGUAAACGGCGGCCGUAACUAUAACGGUCCUAAGGUAGCGAAAUUCCUUGUCGGGUAAGUUCCGACCUGCACGAAUGGCGUAAUGAUGGCCAGGCUGUCUCCACCCGAGACUCAGUGAAAUUGAACUCGCUGUGAAGAUGCAGUGUACCCGCGGCAAGACGGAAAGACCCCGUGAACCUUUACUAUAGCUUGACACUGAACAUUGAGCCUUGAUGUGUAGGAUAGGUGGGAGGCUUUGAAGUGUGGACGCCAGUCUGCAUGGAGCCGACCUUGAAAUACCACCCUUUAAUGUUUGAUGUUCUAACGUUGGCCCGUAAUCCGGGUUGCGGACAGUGUCUGGUGGGUAGUUUGACUGGGGCGGUCUCCUCCUAAAGAGUAACGGAGGAGCACGAAGGUUGGCUAAUCCUGGUCGGACAUCAGGAGGUUAGUGCAAUGGCAUAAGCCAGCUUGACUGCGAGCGUGACGGCGCGAGCAGGUGCGAAAGCAGGUCAUAGUGAUCCGGUGGUUCUGAAUGGAAGGGCCAUCGCUCAACGGAUAAAAGGUACUCCGGGGAUAACAGGCUGAUACCGCCCAAGAGUUCAUAUCGACGGCGGUGUUUGGCACCUCGAUGUCGGCUCAUCACAUCCUGGGGCUGAAGUAGGUCCCAAGGGUAUGGCUGUUCGCCAUUUAAAGUGGUACGCGAGCUGGGUUUAGAACGUCGUGAGACAGUUCGGUCCCUAUCUGCCGUGGGCGCUGGAGAACUGAGGGGGGCUGCUCCUAGUACGAGAGGACCGGAGUGGACGCAUCACUGGUGUUCGGGUUGUCAUGCCAAUGGCACUGCCCGGUAGCUAAAUGCGGAAGAGAUAAGUGCUGAAAGCAUCUAAGCACGAAACUUGCCCCGAGAUGAGUUCUCCCUGACUCCUUGAGGGUCCUGAAGGAACGUUGAAGACGACGACGUUGAUAGGCCGGGUGUGUAAGCGCAGCGAUGCGUUGAGCUAACCGGUACUAAUGAACCGUGAGGCUUAACCUU